rnacentral:rRNA from 1 species
GGACGAACGCUGGCGGCGUGCCUAAUACAUGCAAGUGGAACGCAUGAUUGAUACCGUAGCUUGCUACACCAUUAAUCGUGAGUCGCGAACGGGUGAGUAACGCGUAGGUAACCUGCCUACUAGCGGGGGAUAACUAUUGGAAACGAUAGCUAAUACCGCAUAAGAGUUUUUAACACAUGUUAGAAAUUUAAAAGGAGCAAAUGCUUCACUAGUAGAUGGACCUGCGUUGUAUUAGCUAGUUGGUAAGGUAACGGCUUACCAAGGCGACGAUACAUAGCCGACCUGAGAGGGUGAUCGGCCACACUGGGACUGAGACACGGCCCAGACUCCUACGGGAGGCAGCAGUAGGGAAUCUUCGGCAAUGGGGGGAACCCUGACCGAGCAACGCCGCGUGAGUGAAGAAGGUUUUUGGAUCGUAAAGCUCUGUUGUAAGAGAAGAACGUUGAGUAGAGUGGAAAGUUACUCAAGUGACGGUAUCUUACCAUAAAGGGACGGCUAACUACGUGCCAGCAGCGGC